AGCGAACGCUGGCGGCAGGCCUAACACAUGCAAGUCGAACGAACUCUUCGGAGUUAGUGGCGGACGGGUGAGUAACACGUGGGAACGUGCCUUUUGGUUCGGAAUAACUCAGGGAAACUUGUGCUAAUACCGAAUGUGCCCUUCGGGGGAAAGAUUUAUCGCCAUUAGAGCGGCCCGCGUCUGAUUAGCUAGUUGGUGAGGUAACGGCUCACCAAGGCGACGAUCAGUAGCUGGUCUGAGAGGAUGACCAGCCACACAGGGACUGAGACACGGCCCAGACUCCUACGGGAGGCAGCAGUGGGGAAUCUUGCGCAAUGGGCGAAAGCCUGACGCAGCCAUGCCGCGUGAAUGAUGAAGGUCUUAGGAUUGUAAAAUUCUUUCACCGGGGACGAUAAUGACGGUACCCGGAGAAGAAGCCCCGGCUAACUUCGUG
rnacentral:rRNA from 1 species